rnacentral:rRNA from 1 species
UACAGGGGGUGCAAACGUUGCUCGGAAUCAUUGGGCGUAAAGCGCACGUAGGCGGUUCGUUAUGUCGGAUGUGAAAGCCCUUGGCUUAACCGAGGAAGUGCAUCCAAAACUGGCGAGCUAGAGUACGAAAGAGGAUCGCGGAAUUCCCGGUGUAGAGGUGAAAUUCGUAGAUAUCGGGAGGAACACCGGUGGCGAAGGCGGCGAUCUGGGUCGAUACUGACGCUGAGGUGCGAAAGCGUGGGGAGCAAACAGG